rnacentral:rRNA from 1 species
AUGAACGCUGGCGGCGUGCCUAAUACAUGCAAGUCGAGCGAACAGAUAAGGAGCUUGCUCCUUUGACGUUAGCGGCGGACGGGUGAGUAACACGUGGGUAACCUACCUAUAAGACUGGAAUAACUCCGGGAAACCGGGGCUAAUGCCGGAUAAUAUUUAGAACCGCAUGGUUCUAAAGUGAAAGAUGGUUUUACUAUCACUUAUAGAUGGACCCGCGCCGUAUUAGCUAGUUGGUGGGGUAAUGGCUUACCAAGGCAACGAUACGUAGCCGACCUGAGAGGGUGAUCGGCCACACUGGAACUGAGACACGGUCCAGACUCCUACGGGAGGCAGCAGUAGGGAAUCUUCCGCAAUGGGCGAAAGCCUGACGGAGCAACGCCGCGUGAGUGAUGAAGGUCUUCGGAUCGUAAAACUCUGUUAUUAGGGAAGAACAAAUGUGUAAGUAACUGUGCACGUCUUGACGGUACCUAAUCAGAAAGCCACGGCUAACUACGUGCCAGCAGC